AUUCUCUUCUGAACAUAUACUAAAAUUCGAACAAUACAAAGAUGAUCAGCAUCACUCCUGCGCAAGGAUGGAACGCAUUUGUGAAGAGUUCCAAAAUUUU
rfam:Oesophagostomum dentatum strain OD-Hann O_dentatum-1.0_Cont72.11, whole genome shotgun sequence.